rnacentral:lncRNA from 1 species
GUGUCCUCUCUUUCGAACUCCAACUAGAUGAGAGGAUUUUCCUCAGAGAAAAUUCAGCUCUGGGAAGAACCAUCCAUGGAGGUCGUAACCGAGAACAUUUUUGAAGGGAAGUUUCAGUGAAUUAAAAGAGGGCAGGGUAAGGAAACAACGUUCUGUCCUACCAUAGCUGCAGCUAAAUAAAUCAUUUCACUCUAGAGCCUGGGCAGUAUCAUAAUUUGUAGCCAAUUGUCCACAGAGGUCACUGAUUUCAGUUCAUUGUGGAGGGGAGAGGAGGCCUGGACCCCACUAAGAAUUUGUAUUAAUAGUUGUAUCUUACCCAGAAUG